GCAGCGAACGUAUCACUUAAAGCGAUUCAGCGGGUUACGAUUGACGGAGCGAAGCGACGUCAAAGCGUAUACAAAGUCGAGUCGGUUUAAGGAUACGUUCGUUGGGUAGGGGAGCGUUCUGUAAGCCCGUGAAGGUGGCCUGUGAGGGUUGCUGGAGGUAUCAGAAGUGCGAAUGCUGACAUAAGUAACGAUAAAGCGGGUGAAAAGCCCGCUCGCCGGAAGACCAAGGGUUCCUGUCCAACGUUAAUCGGGGCAGGGUGAGUCG
rnacentral:rRNA from 2 species